CCUAAAAAGAAAUUAUAAUAGGAAUAUGAAAAUAAAUGAAUUUAUCUGCCUAACAAAACAUUUAAUUAUGUAGAUAAAUAUUGUCAUUAGCCAAUAAAUAAGUUGAUAGAACGCGCCUGAGAAGGCCAUGGAUACCGUUAUUCCCUACAACGGAUUUGAAAAUCCCCAAUUGCAAUAUUAACAUGAAUUAUUGUUUGCAUAUGACUAGAAUAAUUGUGCAUGUUGACGAUAAUUAUGGUUAAAAAAAAAAUUUUUGUUUGCAUAUACAUAUUUAGUGUUUUCUGAGUGUUAACGUUGACGUUUUAAAUUUACGUAUGUACAUACAUGUACAUUAUGUACAUUAACAUAUAUAUAAGAAUGUAGUACCAGCUUUUUAAACAAUAUUCCUUUGAUGAUAUUCAAGGGCAGUUGAUUUCCGUAGCACCUCAAAAUAAAGACUGAAUAGUGUUGCUCAAAAAUGUGUUUGUACGCGAAAUUAAAUGUUCACAUACAUAUGUACAUACAUAUAUGUAUGUUGCUUUGCCUCGCAACCGGAUUGUAUUUUGUAAGUUGCUAUUGGCAACAGUUAAAUAUAUAUGUACAUAGAACACACAAAUUAUACUACUAAUCACUAGGUAAGCAAAUACCUUAGCUAAUAGCUUGCCUAUGCCGUGUCCACCCAAAGCUGUAGGAACACCAGUAUGCUUAAUGUGCAUGAUUCCAUCGUUAAUGUCAUACUUCAACUGAGCAACACCUUCUUUAGUUUCAAUAUAAAACCUGCUAUCAUCAUGUUUUAUUUUAAAAGUAGUUCCCAUCCAUCUUCGU